UGUUUAGUUUUUGUGGGCAUUCGGUGGAUGCCUUGGCACUCAGAGCUGAUGAAGGACGUGGCGGUCUGCGAUAUGCCUUAGGGAGUUGACGAGCGAGCGUUGAUCUAAGGAUUUCCGAAUGGGGGAACCUAGCUGGUGUUAUGGCCAGUUACCAUCACUUGAAUGAAAUAGGGUGGUGGGGGGAACGCGGGGAAGUGAAACAUCUCAGUACCCGUAGGAGAAGAUAUUCCGUGAGUAGUGGCGAGCGAAAGCGGAGGAGGCUAAACCUUGUGCGUGUGAUAGGCGGCGGCCGUUGCGCAUGGGGUGUUGUGGGGCAUGAUCGUUCGCCUUCUGCCGGGGGUGGGCAUGGUGUGUUGUUGGUGGUUGAACCUCUUGGGAUGGGGGACCGUAGUGCGUGAUAGUCGUGUAGGCCAGCCGGUGACAUGUUGUGUGGGUUGUGUUCCCGAGUAGUGCGGGACUCGUGAAAUCUCGUGUGAAUCUGCCAGGACCACCUGGUAAGCCUAAAUACUACUGAGUGACCGAUAGUGCAUAGUACCGUGAGGGAAUGGUGAAAAGUACCCCGGGAGGGGAGUGAAAUAGUACCUGAAACCGGAUGCUUUUAAGCCGUCAGAGCCUUGUGGGGUGAUGGCGUGCCUUUUGAAGAAUGAGCCUGCGAGUCAGUGGCAUGUGGCGUGCUUAACCCGUGUGGGGUAUGCGUAGCGAAAGCGAGUCUGAAAUAUGGCGUUUGUCGCGUGUUCUGGACCCGAAGCGGGGUGAUCUACCCAUGGCCAGGUUGAAGCAAGGGUAAGACUUUGUGGAGGACCGAACCCACCAGGGUUGAAAACCUGGGGGAUGAGCUGUGGGUAGGGGUGAAAGGCCAAUCAAACUCCGUGAUAGCUGGUUCUCCCCGAAAUGCAUUUAGGUGCAGCGUUGUGUGGUUCCUGUUGGAGGUAGAGCUACUGGAUGGCCGAUGGGCCCUGUGGGUUACUGACGUCAGCCAAACUCCGAAUGCCAAUAGGGUUGAGCAUGGCAGUGAGACUGCGGGGGAUAAGCUUCGUAGUCGAGAGGGAAACAGCCCAGAUC
rnacentral:ncRNA from 1 species